rnacentral:lncRNA from 1 species
GUUAUUUUUUUCCAAGACUCAGCAGGCACAACAGCUCUCCUCACUUUAUAUUUUAUAAAAUCAAGAAAAUUCUUUAUUAUAAAAUCACAGUACAAUUACCAAAAUAAAAAUAUGUACCUUUGAUAUUGUAUUAUUAUUAAGGCUAGUGUAUAUAAUUAGGUAUGGUAAAUUUGAAAAGUAAUAAUCUAUGGAGAAAAUUUAAAUGUAAUAUCAAGCAUUGUCUUAUUUUUCAUAACUAAGAUGUAGUAUAAAUCCUUUUUUCAUGUUUACUGAUAUUUUGUAUACUGUAAUAUUUUCAAGCUUGUGUGUGUGUGUGUUUGUGAAUUUUUUCACUCUAUGAACCUGAAUGUGUGCUCAGGUGAAAUCCAGAACUUCACAAUAUAUGACGUUCUCUCCAUUUAAUUUUUCUCCCUCCUUAUUUUAUGAGACAGGUUUGUUCACUGAGUCUGGAGCUCAUCAAUUUGGUGAGAUUGUUUCCAAGGAUCCCUAUGUCCCUACUUUGCCAGCACUGUAAUCAUCUGAUUUUGCUCUUAUGUGUGAUUUAUAUUACACAUUUUCUAGAGAUUUAACUCAAAUACUCAUAGUGAGUGGCGCACCAUGUAAUUAUGAUGUCAUAAAUCCAGAUCCUUAGGCUUCUAAUUUUACAAAACACUUCUACAUCAUUUAUUUAAGGCUAAAUUCAGAUCAUAUACAAACUCUAACUGAAAAUGGUUUAUUUGAUCUUUCCUUCUUUCCAUAUUUUAAAUAUCUUUUAUUGGAGGAUAAAUUGAUUUUUAUUAAAAAUUAUUUUACUGCUGCUACUUUAAAGGUUAAACAUUGUGUGCAUAAUGCAAAAUAAUAGGUAUGUGUUUUUUUUUUUAAAGAGGAGACUUCCAAUCCACCAAUAAUCAUCCUGAAAUAAUCAUUAUGCUGCCCCUGUUGUAUAUGUGGUUUUACUGUAACACAGCAAUCAUCAUUGCAGUUCAAGGUACAUUGUUUGGCAGAGGCAUUUACACCUUCAAGAAGAACUCUUCAUUCUCCUCUUUAAAGUCUGAUAAAAGCUUGUUCUGGAAAACCUUCAAAAUCAGGAAAUAAAGCUUCAUAUGCCAUCCUCAUUGCUUGAUUGGCUUCCAUGAGUGAAUUCUCAAGACAACUGGGUCAAAGCAUAUCAGUAUAUUUCCUGAGUCUCAGGAAUCUCUUUUGGUAAUCUGGAGCACUGAAGAGUUGCAGGCUUACUGAAUGUAGGGCUGCUCAAUCCCUUUAGAAGAAAUGGUGCAGUAUGUACGUUGAAUUGACAUACAAUCUGCCUAUAUACUUUAAAAUCAUCCCUGGAUUACUUAUAUGUUUUAUAAAAAGAAGUUACUAUAAUGCAUUAACUUUUACAAUGGAUUCCAAUUGUCAUAUUGUUAAGAUUAUUUUUAUCAGAUUUUAAUACAUCAUAUUCCUAAAGAGGCUUGGUAAAUAGAAGAUGGACUGUAUACACAAAAGGACAAUGAUUUCCAACCUCUAAUUUAAACUCAAAAUAUUUGCAAAAUAUUGUAGAUAUUCACAGUUGUUUGCUGUAUUUUAAUAUACUGGUUACAAAGAUGAAUAGUUUGAAGGAUUGCAAAAAUAAAACUGUUCCUUUCCUUUAAUAUUUAGAAUAU